UUCCAAUAUAACCGCCCAUCCAGCAGGUGCAUGAAGUGAGGGAGCUGAAACUGAAAAGGCUAAGCUUAACAGUAUCAGUCAAAAAAGUAAGUAAAAGUAGACAUUUGGAGCUAAAAGUUUAUUCGGAUUAUUUUUCCCUGCAUCGCCGUCAACGAGGGAGGAAGAGGCCAACAGGAAAAUCGUCGGGCUCGACUAACGACGGGAUCUUUUCUACGACACCUGACGCACAGCAUGCACAAAGAAAAACCUACUGGAAAUAUUAAUGGAAGAUUACGGGGUGCCAGUUACUGGAGCAACUGGAACAACUCUGCUGCUGACCGUGUUUUUGGUGAGCGUGUGCAAGCGUAUUUAACCCCGGAAGGACACCCAUUAGAAGGUCAUACGUCAAUAAUAAGUGUUUCCCAUUACAACAGCUGGUUACAUGACCCUGGAGCCCUAAAUCACACAAUGUGGAAGGGGACAGGAGCGCUGUGCACGAUUGUCAUGGCAACAACGAUAGGAAGACAAGAUGGAGGAGUCAUAGCUGGCCUGGCCUCCUUUACAGGGGAGGAUCCUGUGUUUGAAAACACCAGAUGUUAUCUUUAAAAUUUAAAUGGACUAGACUAGAAAGCUUAAGAUAACAAUAGAUAUUUCUAACAGGUAGAUAUUUACACAUGCAACUGCUUGGAGUGCAAGUGUGCUGCAAAUUCACUAAAUGAUAAAAAGGGAUCCUGCACAUCACACUUGCUUAUUAACACAUUUGUCAGAUGAGGGUUAAGAAAAGGCUAAAUAAGAGAAGUGUGCAGGAUUUGACAGUUUUAAUAUACAUUUCCAAACAUUAGACAGUUCAGAGUGUGUGCACUGUUAGGUUAAAACGUUAUUUCCAAAUUGGAAAACACCCCUUUGGACAAACUAAGUUUUUUCUUUUUAAUAACUGUCACUACACAGUCUUUUGGCAGCUAAUUCCUUUAUUACCACAACAACCUAUUCUACCUCGUGUCUAUUUCUAUUGCACAAAUUACAUGUUGGCAUUCUUGCCUCUUCUAAGUGUUUGACGACCACAGAAUUUAUACUUGAAAGAGCAUUUUUUAGGCAAUCCAAAAGCCAAAGUGUGGCUCUGUUCAUUUCAGGCACAUUGCUCUGCUAUUGCAGGGAGCAUUAACGUAAUGGCAAAAUGCAUAACAACCAUCUGCAAAUGCUCUGUGACAAAACACAUUUGAAUUUGUGAAGCUUCUGAACUCUGUGUAUCUAUCUGAGAUUAGCCACAAGCAAACUACUCUGACGCUGUUGAGUUCAGAGUGAUGCUGCCUCCUGGGCAAUAAAGAUAAUCUGUUGAACCGGGGGAGUAUUACAAAAGAUGUUUUUCUCCCUUUUUCAUGCAUGUCAAACGUAAUGUAGACAACUCAAUAUGAAUUUGAAAGAAUGCUCAAAGCUGUCAUGACAGAUUUUUUUUGGCCACUCAAAGACAGCAGGAACAAGUUGCAAAUACAACACUGAUAUAUUAUCACCUCUGAAGUUGCUAUGUUGAACUUUUUAGCAAAUGACUCAUUUGGAGUUGUGUUUCUGUCCACCUGGUGAAUGUAAGUCCAAUAUUGUCUCUCUUUAAACUCUGUCUGGCUGCUAAAUGAACCACUAUGUUCACCAGCUGGUCGCUAACGGUGACUGCUGUUUGUUGCUGAGUAGGUAAGUGUAAAGUAGGUUUUUAGAGCUUUUCCGCAGAAAACAGCUGCCUGCAGUGGCUGAAAACAACGAUACGAGAAUGAACCAAAACGGUGAAGUUGCAUCUGGACAGUUAAACAAUGAGGUGAAACUCAUUAUAAAGCUCCUAUCUCCUCUUUGUAGGUUCAUCAUUAGGAGUGAUGCCUCUCGCAUUACACAUUCUAAUUUGAUACAUUGUUAUUAUAAAAUAUCAAUUAUAGCCUUUUAAACUAUAGUAAGACAUUUUGUAAAAAUUGAAGGAUAUAUUCAUUAUCUCAAGAAAUAUUAUUUUACAUAAAUUUUGUCGCUCCAAAUGCAAACACAGGAAAUACACAAAAUUCAAAUAUCAGCAAUUGUUUUGAAAUGACUUCAAUGUCUAAGAGGAAAUAAAUCACUGUGGGAAACAAAAUAUGUUUGAGAGAAAACAAUCCCUGUGGAAAAUCAUUGUGUGAUGUUAUGUUUGUGUGACCUUGCGCUCUGUGCCUCUCUUAAAAAUGGACUUUGCUGACUCUGAGUCAGACAGUGCAGAUUGAUGAGUCAGACAGCGCAGAUUGAUGAGUCACAGAUGGACAGAUUAAGGCUUCUUCUCCGCUAGCUGAAGUCCACCUUGUUCCUCCUCCUCAUCCUCUUCUCCGCCAGUACUUCUCUAAACCAAUCCCCUCAUAUACGCUCCCCUCACUGAACUUCUAGUGCUGUUCAGCAAAUCUCACACUCUUCUCUUAUAAUCCUCCACCUCCACUUUCUCAAAAACAUGAUCCCCAGCCCUCAUGUUUCUCAUCCUCUACUCUUUCCUCUUAUCUGAGCCUUAGCUCUCUCCUCUUAGCUCCCAUAAUUAUUGUUUGUGAAUGAUUAUGCGCUAGCUGCUAGCGAUCACUUGAAAGGUCACCGCAUUAUUCUCAGACAGAGAGCUGAGCACAAAUCUCAGUCGCAAGAGCUGGUUUGUAUCAAGUACAGCUGCAACUAACAAUUAUUUUUUAUUUCUGAAUAAUCUGUCAUGUAUAUUUAGUUAAUUUGUUUAGUGUUUAACCUAUAAAAUAGUGAAAAUGUCCGUCUGAGCAAUGGGCCAAAACCCAAAGAUAUUGAUCCUUACAAUGAUAUAAAAAGAGGGAAAAGAAGCAAAUCUUCACAUCUGAGAAACUAGAAUCACUAAGUGCCGACUUUGUUGAUUCAUUUUCUGUUUAUAUACUAUUCGCUAGGUGUUAAAGCUCAAUACUUUUUUAUGUUAUCAACCAAAAUGUCUCCACAGUAUUGAGCAUUUAACAGCUUGUCCCAAUAUGUAGUGUUCUUUACUUAUUCUUUGAUCAGAUAGUUUCUCAUUGAAAGCAUAAUUUUGCCAAUUUAAAAUUGCACUUUAUGUUGUCAAAGCUCAUGUUUAGCUGUUUGUGGUCAGACAGUAUUUAACGUUGAGAUGUUUGGCUUCUUUUAUGAGAUGAAUGUGGAAAAAAAUGUUAAUAUUCCUCAAAGUAGGUAUAUAAAAUCGUUUUAGUAUGCACACUGAAAGUCAGAUUUCAUAUUGCACCAUUUCAACCACACAGAUAGCAGUUUAAUUAACCUGAAUAUCAACCCCCUGGCUGUGUGUGUGUGUGUGUGUGUGUGUGUGUGUGUGUGUGUGUGUGUGUAGUUUCUGUCCCUCAUCACCUGGCCACUCACCUGGGACCACAGUAAUGACAGGCUGGUGUCAAAGCUAGCAGAGAUGAUCUAUGCUGCUGUCAGUCACCCUGCCUGCCCCAGUGACUGACUGUAGCCUCCUUCCUACUUAUCCUCUCCUCUCGUCCCUCUCUGCCUUGCUCUUUCCCUCUCUGUACCUCUCCCUCAGUGUUCUGGUGAGACGAAUACCGCUCCUGCAUCCAUAUCACUCUCUCUCUUUCUCUCUUUCUCACAGACACACAGGCUCAUAAUGACGCUGACAUUUAACACAAUACAGCAGUGUUAUUCCAGCAGCAGUGCACAAGGUCAACUCAUUAGAGGGCAUAAUUGAUGUGGGGUGCAUAUCCCAACCUGCCACUAAUAGAGAUUGGGGUCAGUCGGCAAUUUAACAACAAUAAGGACUGGACACAAAUGAGACACCGAAUGACAUUCAGUGUAUACGUGGAUACCUUACACCCUGGCAAAUAAUUUGUUUUGUUUUGACAUUUCAAUGAGAAAAACAUUUUCUCUGGGUCAUUCCAGGCCAAACGUUUCGUGAGUUGGAACAUGAGCGGCAUAGCGUAGUAGUGAGCAGGCGGAGAAUCCAGACAAAGUAGCAUCCACCAUUAAAAAUCCUCAUUAACGUUAGCAGGCAUAAAAACAACCGGGAGUGUAAGCAGAUUGAAUAUUCAAUAUUCUAAUCAAAAAUCAAUGGAAAAUCCUGUAAUUUUUUCUGUUACCAUGACCACAGGCUCUUAAUCUCCCCUCACAUAUUAAUUCCAGGCGCAGUAAUUCGAAAAUAAACGAGCAUGCUGAGCAGACAAUGAGCAGUCCCACCCCUCACCAUACCCCAGUUAUCAUAUAGGAAACAUAAGAUGAUAGCAACUGUGAUUGACAAAGUCUCCGGGGCCCAAUUCAGCAGCAUCUGUAUUCAUAACAUAUAUGAGUCCCUGACCUCCCCUCCCCUCUCAUUCAUCCAUCUCACCUCUUUACCCAGCCUCCCACUCCUUCCCACACUCAUCUGCUCAUCCGCUACCAUGCUAACUGAGCCCAUCUCUUUACCUCUCCUCAUUUCAGCCCAUCCAGUCCGAGCGUUUUCAACUUGCCACCCACUCUCUUCCUCAGUUUUUUUUUCUCUCCUGUUUUCUCAUUAUGUCACUCUUUCCAUGCUAACUAUUCAAGCUGUUUUCUGUUUAGUAGACAACAGUACAUUCUUUUGUGUACUUAACCACACAUCCUUUCCUGUCAAAACCUCAGUUUCUGCAU